CAGAGGACUUAGCAGAGAUGCUUUGGUGCCUUCGGGAACUCUGAGACAGGUGCUGCAUGGCUGUCGUCAGCUCGUGUUGUGAAAUGUUGGGUUAAGUCCCGCAACGAGCGCAACCCUUAUCCUUUGUUGCCAGCGGUCCGGCCGGGAACUCAAAGGAGACUGCCAGUGAUAAACUGGAGGAAGGUGGGGAUGACGUCAAGUCAUCAUGGCCCUUACGAGUAGGGCUACACACGUGCUACAAUGGCAUAUACAAAGAGAAGCGACCUCGCGAGAGCAAGCGGACCUCAUAAAGUAUGUCGUAGUCCGGAUUGGAGUCUGCAACUCGACUCCAUGAAGUCGGAAUCGCUAGUAAUCGUGGAUCAGAAUGCCACGGUGAAUACGUUCCCGGGUUUGGUACACACCG
rnacentral:rRNA from 1 species